UAGUUUGUCUGGUUGGAAUAUUAAUAGAGUUCAGGGCUGGGGAUAUAGCUCAGUGCUAGAGUGCUUAUCUGGUAUGCACCACAUCCUGUGUUGAAUCCCCAACAUCACAAAAACAAAAUAAAAUAGAAUUCAAUACUCCACAGCUUCUACCAGUAGCUUAGGCUCAGAGUGGGAGAGGAAGGGCAGCCUUGAGUCUGAAAACUCCAGGAACAGACACCUAACUGCUCCACAUCUCCAGGCCUUGGCACUUCUGGAAAGCCACAGGCAUUGAGAAAUGAGGAUGCAAAGAAGAAAAACCAUAAUGCAGAACCAAGAUCCAGAGGUCAGCCUGUGCACAGCAGAAAGGCUGGCUGAGACCAGGGACUCCCUACAAUGACAGACGAUGAGUAAAAGAGAGUACAGUGGAUUAAUGUGUGGACAUCAUGUUGAAAAUUCAAGUUCCAAACCUACUGUACCAUUUAGUAGUAAUGAAACUUGAGAUUUACUUAGUCCUCUCAUAAAUGAUGACAUAAUACUUAUUUUAUAUAGUUAUUGUGAGAAUUCAAUGAACCAAUAUAUGUAAAGUGCUUAUAGAUUU